rnacentral:lncRNA from 1 species
GAGCUCCAGUGAUUCUCCCGCCUCGGCUUCCCAAAGUACUAGGAUUACAGUACCAAGAGGAAACGAGACAAGAAUGACAAAAUCACCGAGGCAGGAACAGGAAGGCUGUGGGGUCGGAGGAUUGAGGAAAGGCAAAACCCUCAUGCUAAAGCGGCUUCAGCCCAACUCCAGACAAGAACAGUCCCCUUUCCUGGGCCUCCAUUGCCUGCUCUGGAAAGAGAAGAGUCUCCUGCUCUUCCACCCUCCUGGAGACCACGGUGCUGGCCAUUAUCACUCCUAGGUUUAGACUGCAAGCUCUUUGAGGACAUGGACAAGCUCUCCAGAGCCUGGUACCGAGCCUGGCUCUGGUCUGAGUGUCUGCUGGAUGGAGCAAUGAAAGGAGAAUUCAAAUCAGACGUAGGGGCAGCAUCCAGGUAGGGGAAGGGCCUCUCUGACUCCUCAUCUCUGGGAUGCGCAACUCCAGAAUUCUGUCCUAACCACUUCUAUGGAGUUGCCACAUCCUACCUCCUCCAUUGCACAGCCUGCUUCCCCCUCUCCGGGGGUCCUGGCAGACAGGGGGGUCUGGCCUUGCUGGGGUCGGGGGGGAGUCCAGGUCCCCUCCCAGGAUGUGCUGAGUGGAUAUGUGAGGCUCAUGCCCACAGGCUGACUGAAGGCAGGCCCCUCUUAAACUCUGCAUCCUCUGGGGGCUGGGAGCAGGCAGAAUAAUGGUCGCUACAGGAAUUCGGUACUAAUGCUUGGAAUCUGUGACUGUUAUCUACAUGCAAAGACUUUGCAGAUGUGACUAAAGAUUUUGAAAUGAGAUUAUCCUAGAUUAUCA